ACCCUGUCAAGCCUGCAUGAUCAAGUCUAUUAAAAAUGUUUCAAGGCACUUUGGGCACAAACUUUGUUUAUAAAUGAGAAAUCAUAUCGAGGAGAAUUUAAGGAGCAGUUUCUGCAGGCAAACACUGCUCUGGCACUAAAAUGAACGUCGACACAGUUACGUGCGGGCGCGUGCCCGUGGGUCAGAGGCAGCCCCUCUGGCUGGUGCAAGGAGGUUGUUGGACAACGCGAAUUCUGGCCCACCCAGGCCUCUGAGAACUGGUUCUUCCCAGAGACACGGAGACACCACCGCUCACUUGCUUACUCAAACUCGUCACUGCACACGGGGCAGGUGCCCAGAGAGGGCAGAACAGUACCCACCCAGCCAGAGUCAGGAGAGGAAGCACCUGAGACAUUAAAGAAGAAGGGUGGCCCAGGGCUGAAAAGAGGUGAGCAGGGACAGCAGGGUCCAGAGCCUGGAGGCAAGGAGGGUCUCUGAAGGGUCAUCAUGAGGCUGAUGGCGGUGGCAGAAGUGCAGAGAGACCCAUGAGAUGGAGCUGUGCACCUGUCCCUGAAUGUCCUGGGGAAUCCUGUCCCCGCCCCCCAGGUGGAUCUCACCCUCUCAGGUGGCUCCUGCCUCGCCCUCCACCAGGUGGAGCCCCUCCCAGGUGGAUCUCACCCCCCCAGGUGGCUCCUGCCUCCCCCCACCAGGUGGGGCCCCUCCCAGGUGGCUCUUGCCUCCCCCUCCACCAGGGGGAGCCCCUCCCAGGUGGAUCUCACGCCCCCAGGUGGCCCCUGCCUCGCCCCCCACCAGGUGGAGCCCCUCCCAGGUGGAUCUCACCCACCCAGGUGGCUCCUGCCUCCCCCCACCAGGUGGGGCCCCUCCCAGGUGGAUCUCACCUCCCCCAGGUGGAUUCUGCCUCCCCCUCC